UACGUAGGUGGCAAGCGUUAUCCGGAUUUAUUGGGCGUAAAGGGAACGCAGGCGGUCUUUUAAGUCUGAUGUGAAAGCCUUCGGCUUAACCGGAGUAGUGCAUUGGAAACUGGGAGACUUGAGUGCAGAAGAGGAGAGUGGAACUCCAUGUGUAGCGGUGAAAUGCGUAGAUAUAUGGAAGAACACCAGUGGCGAAAGCGGCUCUCUGGUCUGUAACUGACCCUGAGGUUCGAAAGCGUGGGUAGCAAACAGG
rnacentral:rRNA from 1 species